UACGUAGGGUGCAAGCGUUAAUCGGAAUCAUUGGGCGUAAAGCGCACGUAGGCGGCCCAGCAAGUGGGGAGUGAAAGCCCUCGGCUUAACCGAGGAAGUGCUUUCCAAACUACUGGGCUUGAAUACUGGAGAGGGUCGCGGAAUUCCCGGUGUAGAGGUGGAAAUUCGUAGAUAUCGGGAGGAACACCAGUGGGCGAAGGCGGCGACC
rnacentral:rRNA from 1 species